AUGGAGCUCAUGGGGCCUGCACGCCACGGAGUCCCCGACUGAGGAGCGAGGAGGGCUCUUGUGGGGGCAGAUCUGGAGUCAUACUUGAGGCCAGGCUCGAAUCCUGCCUUCCUUUGGUGGCUCUGAGAUUCAGGGCUGGCUUUUCUGAGAAUACCCAAGUGAGGUGCCUUGGGAUGUCCCUGACUUGGAGACACAGAGGAGGCUGGGCACCCCUUUUCCCCGACUCACUGAGCCAGAUAUUGUGAGCCCUGGAGGACACAAAUU
rnacentral:lncRNA from 1 species